GCCGGCUUUUAAUGAGUUGAUGUGAAAAGCUGCACGCACAUUAGACUUUUUUUUCCUGGUGUCCCAGAGGGAGAAGGCAGCCUGGCAGGUCUGCAUCCUUUGAGUACCACCUCUGCUGCUACUUACAGGUUAUAUGAAGGAGACAUGCUGUACUCUUGGAACUUUCUCGACAAAAGAAAACAUGCAUAAGACUCCUCACCUCUCUGCUUCUGCCCAUAAAACUUUCCUCUGAUUCAAAGGAAUCCAGCCAUCUCUCGUUAACUCACUCAGCCUUGAUUCAUUUAAUCACUCUAAAGCUCUGCUAAGUACUUGUUAUGUGCUGUGAAUGAAACUGUUGCUAAGUACAAGCAAAUAAACAUUGCCACUUUCCUAAUGUGGUAUCUAACAGGCACAGGGUAGUGAAAUGAGCCCUAUGGAAGAGCUGUGGGCAGGGCAACCUAAAGGAGGUUGACAACUUAAUGGCAAGUAGGAGAGCAUUUUUGAGAGAGAGUGUACUUAAAUUACCAUUCAAAUGUAAGAAAACUUAGACUGCAAAAGUGGGAAGGAAGGUCUUUGGGAGAGAAGAGUAAGAUUCUGAAGAUCUUGAGAUACAAAGAAAAAAAAUGAAACAUUUAGGAUAAUGGCUAGCAGAAAAUUUGAAAGUCAGGAGAGUGAAAGCUUCAGUUUUGCAGUCAAUCUUAAAUAUGAAUCUGAAUGUAUAUUUCCCUUCCUGGAAACUUUUCACUAGCUUCCAAACACUUAUGGAAUAAAGAAUGUAUGUCAGUGUU
rnacentral:lncRNA from 1 species